GCGGGGAACGCAGGGUGAUGUUUCUUUUGAAGAUUUAGGAAUAAAAGUAAGCAGCAAGUCUGUAACAUCACCAAGAAUGUGUGCUAAGGCUGCUUUGGAAACGAUUCUGGCUCCUUCUGCAUUUCUCAGCCUGAUGAUCCAUGGCAGUUCCUGAAAACCUUCAACAUUCAGUCUCAGCGGGUCAGCAUCUAAGUGAAUUCUGGCUCUGCCUUGCUGGACACUGGAGCUCUGUCUCCAUCCCACUGGAAAGUCUGCUGCUCUUCCAUUCUCCAGAGGCUAGAAGCUGUGACAUCUGGCUGCCCUCUUCCUCCCAUCUCAUCUUAUCCACACAGAAUGGUGGUGAGAGCCAGGACCAGAGGAACUGGACACAACUCCUGACUGUCGCUGACCAGCUCUGGGCCCUCCUUCAACGGGUUUCUCUGUGCCUCAGUGGAGUCAUUUAUGAAGCAACGAGAACAAGAUGUACCUCACUGGGACAUUGUUAGGAAUAAAAGCAACAGCUGCUCAGAGCCCACUGGGCACUGGUCUCAACAUA